CCAGAGGGCGGCAGAGCGCGGCUCCCGCCGGUGCCUCCCGGUAUCCCCGCGCUGUGCCGGCGGCAGGGGGCACGCGGGCCGCCCUCUGCGCCUCGGAGCAAUCAGCAAGAGCCUUGACAAGCUUUCAGGUUUUCAGAAAAUCAGAAAUUCAACUGAAAUGGAAGGAGGAAACUCUGAAACAGGUUUCCCCUGGCAAUCCUGGCAUUGGAUCUUGUGAAGGAAACACCUGGCCCUUGGACUACACAAAGUCUAACAUCAGAGGCGCCAAUCAGCACUGUGAUGGUGAGCCAGAAAGGUCUGCAGCAUGCUUGCUGCCAUCUUAAACCUUUCAGCUUUGGUUUUGAUAGAACUUUUCCUGUUUCAGUUAUGCAUUCCAAAAGCUGAAAGCGUCUGGCGAAUGAAGCAAGAAACUGCACAAAGGGAAAGUCUGGUGAUUCAGUCAGCUGCUCCAUGCCCAGAGAAGUGGCCUACGGCCCUGCCCUUCCCACAGCACUCUCCAUUCCUCAUGCUGGUGGCCAGCCAUCUACUACAGACAUUACUGAAGAGCAGUACUUGCAUCGUCGCCUUUAGGCAACUGAAAAGUAUGACUGACAUAAAAAUCCAGAGCUUUCAAAUCCAGAGGCCCUCAUUGCUGGUAGAAACAAGAGAGGGAAAUAUAUUCAUAUUCUAGACAGGCACUAGAGAGAGGUUCUCUGCUUAAAACUGGACUAAAUCUCCAGCUUCAUACGUCAACAUGAAGGGAGGAGUAACUCAGCACUGCUCUCUCCAGCAUCACAAGGCUCUGAAGUUUUAUGCAGGAGAAUGAAUAUGUCUACCAUCUUUCAAGGCAGCACAAGACAUGCACCAGCCCUCAGACCCCACAGCCUUCCAGCAAGCGCUCCAACAGCGAGAUGGGGCCUCCCUCCCAUGGACAGGAGGGGAGGCAAAACCAGGACCUGCUGGGGCCGAGAAGUUGGGUCUGUGGCUGACAGGUGUAUUAAAGCAUGCUGGCAUGAAAUGUCAGUUUUUCUUCUAGUGAAUAAACAGUUUCUUUCUUUAUGGUAACUGGUGACAGUGACAGAAGUAGCACAAAACUAUUAUUGCAGACACUGAAGCUAGGAUAGUAUGGGCUAAAUAUAGUACUAUAUGCCUAAGGUUAUAAUCUCGUGGAGUUGAAAUGUAUUUCACAUGCUUGAGUUUACAGUGUUCUCUGCUUGCAUCAACGCAGGUUCUCCCUUGCACUUCACCACCUCCUCCUCUCACCCUUGGGCCCUCUAGCUCUCCGAACUCCAUUUUGUUCUGGGCACAUGACAAGUCUGAGCUCAGACUGAGACUGUUUCUCAACGUUUUUUUUUUUUUAAUAAGAAUUAAUAGCAGCAUGAAUAAUGAGGCAGAAGGAAUAACGUGCCAGUAUACAAUCAUGCUGCAAAUGGUUCAAACCAUUAAACCAUUUUAGGUCCUCUGUGGCCAAUUGCUGGGACCUGGAUGGAGGAGGAAAAAACAAUCGCAUUCUGCCAGAAGUUGUUAAAUUCCUGCGAGUGAAUGCGGUCCUGACUUAAUUAUCACUUCCAAGAGCCUAUUUAUAGUUGUCUGGGAAAGCACUUAAGAGAAAUAGGCUUAAGUUUGCAAACAGAGUAAGUGGAUGAGUAUUCCCAGCAAAGACAGAGAGGGGAGAGGCAACCCCCUGCCCUUCCAGUCCUCCUAGUGGGAUGUCAGCGCAGGAAUUCCAUGCUGAUGGGACCAGCUCCUUGGCUCACCAAGUUCCUACAUGGAAUUUUAGAGAUUCGAAAUCAUAAAUGUUGCACAACUUACUGAUGAGCUUCAAACUUGGAAGUUUCCUGGGACAGAACAGCCCCCAGGAUGGCAUACAAAGCAUUUCUUGGGUCUCCAGGACAAACAUAUACAUAUAUAUAUAUAUAUAUAUAAAGCUUCACAUAAUUAUAAACAUCCAAAAUGCUUUGAUAGAUGACAUGCUAAAUCUGUACAUGUAAAUGGUUAGCAGGCUGGGGCUGCAGUAUGAAUAACUGAAUUUGUCCAGGGAAACAUGGCCAGUGGGAUUUCCUGAGUACAAGAACUUACACUGGUCUCAGCAAGCAAAUACUGACAGCUGAUAAAUAAGCACAGAGAAAUGGUAUAUGGGAAUGGUAUAUGGGAACGAGGAAGAGAAAUUUACAUUGCCUUUAUCCCAGGCCUUUUGGAGACAAAUGAGUAGGUGCUAUGAAAUGGAGAGUCAGAGCGGGACGUGAAAGCUGCCUGUAAGCAGGCCUGCACAUGCAGAGGAAUUGAUUUAUAGUCAAAUCCAUUGCUACAGUUAUUUAAUACCUAACUACUGCCUAUUUCAUAAUUUCUCUGCUUGUAGCUGAUAAACUCCUACUAAGCUGUGAAGCAUGGAGGAGUAGCAUAUCUUACUGUUUCUACGUAACGUGGUAUCUUUACAAUGUUCCAUUCAAUAACUCUACCUGUAUAAUGUGUAUUAAAUCAAUUUGGUCAUGCCAUGGAAUUUCAAAUUUGCAGUACAAAAGCACAUUACAUACGUAUUUCAGUGUUUUAUGGGCAUAAUUGUGUGUGAACAAAUAGCUACAUAUACAUUUUAUUGCACCAAGUAUCUUAAGCACUUAAUUUGCACUCAUGCAAAGGCUAACUACAGCCUCAACCCUUGAACUAACAACUCUGGAAGGGACUGUUCUCUCCCUGUCUCCUACAUUACCUGCAUGUUCCACAGGUCAGCUUCAUUUGGCAGAAGUUGUUCCUGCAACCCAUCUACUCAUAUAGCGCAUUAUGGCGGUGCAGCUCUUGGGCCUUUUAAUGUUAUUUCCCUACCAGAAAGUGAAGCACCAAAUAACAGCCUGUUGUUAUUUCUUUGUCUGUAUGUGGACUACUGACCCAGAAAGCCGUAACUAUAGAUCUUCCCAGUUCCAUUUAACUGGAAUAACCACAAGGAAAAGAAGAGAGGAGAAAAAUAUCAAUGACUGCAAAAACCAAUCAAACUACUGCUCCUUUUCUCAGAUGGUCUUGUUUUUAUUGGAGGAAUAAGCCUUCUCUUAAAUUAACACCUCCUGAUAAAAUACCGUUGUUUGUGGAAUCUUUCAGUAAGACUCCAUGUGAGAUUCAGACUUAUCCUCUAUUUUUGCCACUGAUAUUAGAUUUUCAGUCUAUUCCCUGUGUGGAAAUACCCUGCCCCAAGAACACCUUACCACAUCUGUUGAGUGUGCAGGGCCACUUGCCUCCUUCCCCUGUACGUACACACAGCUCCCUCCUCUGUCACACCCAGUGACUUUACAUUUCUGCUUUGCUUCUCAGCACCCUUCACAUCUGGACUUGGGCCAGAGGACAAUCACUGACAGACCUUCUGCUUCUGGAGCAAAUAAGGGUUUGUGGUUUUGGUUGGACUAAAGAGAUUUUCAGAACAUUUUAUUUCCUUUAUAGUGGGUGACUGUUGAUAACACAUCCUACUUCAUGCUGCAUCUCUCCAUGUUGUCUGUUACACCACUGCUGAACCUCUAUGUCACCCUUGGGGAUUGGUGCUUGCCCAGUUCCCUUUCCAUGCUAUCCCUAUUGCUAUCCAGGACAGAUUGCUCAGCAGAAAAGCAAUUCAGUCAGCUAAUGGGCUGCUAUAUGUAGCAUGCAGGUUUAUUUGUUUUGGAGAGGUGAGCCCCCCACAGCUGUCCAAGCUUGAUAGAUGACUUUGAUAGCGAUGAUGGGGGAGCCUUCAUUCUGCCAUUCUCAAAGACAUCUGUGUUCACAGAGAAAUGAGAAAGCUGGAGCUUGUUAUGUACCAUCUACAGUUAGAAGAGCUAUCUACAUGUUUGACUGAAAAUGCUACCACAUAACAUAUAUAUAAUUAUGGACUUGGUUAUAAGAGGACGUCUAAUGGAGCAGAUGUGUACAAAGGAUAUUUGACAGUAAAAACUGAACAUGGCAAGGGAGCAUGUAUGAAGAAAAGCUAUUCACUUUGAGCCAGUGAGAGCAGGUGUGCCUGAGGAACAGCGAAUGUGUGAGCUGUGGUUGAAGGUGG
ensembl:lncRNA